UCGUGUAGCUUUUCACGAAAUCCAAAAACAAACAGUCAAUUUGAUAUGUUCAUUAUAUUGAGCCUGAACAAUGAAAUUUAUUUUACAUUCUGUAAUUAUGUUAUCAGUUUUAGCUUUGUGACACAUAUUUUCAUAUACUUUCUCUAUGUAUGACAUAAUGUCAGUAUGUCACUUGUGGAAGAAAAUUAAUCUGUAAACAAGUUAUACUCGGGUAGUUUUGGUUCAUUGUUAACAGACUCACUCCACCUUGAAAUAUACUGCAAAAUAUUUUAAGUUUCUUUGUCAACUUGGUAACCAAUUUUUUCUAUAUAUUGACUCUAUGUACUAAGCUAGACGUAAUUUGUCCCCUGUCACAGUAUCAGUACCGUACUGCUGAGUACAUCUUGAUUAUAUUACUUUCACAGGUGUAAAAAAAUAGCUGGUAUUAUCUGCUUUAGUAUGGUGAUGGAUAAGUGAUCCACAGCGGGAAAACUUCUAAUACAUUUUUCAUCUUUAAUAUUUUCUUAAUAAUAAUAAUAAUAAAACUUAUGAUCAGAGACAAUUAUGUACUUAGAGCGAUAUUAAAAAUCAGCCUGGUUGUUAGUAUAGCUAGUUAAGUACUUAUAAAGAUUAGGAUGAAUUAUUUCAUCAGUUGGGUACCGUCGCUCUUAACGAUUGAGUUUUGAAAUAAAUGUAUACUAAUUAGCAACCAUGCUUGUCCCUUCCGUGUGUUAUUUAUUUCUGAGGGUUACUAGUUUAUAUUUAUUUGUGUGUAAGUCAGUGCUACAUUCUAAUACUGAGAAUGAUCACCAUAAGAAAUAGCUUGUUUUCAGGUUUCGUGGAAACCACAAGAUUGAAGAAGUUUAACAGGAUAAGUAGUGAUCAGUGUUGGAUAUUCUAAAAAAUGGUUUCUCUAGGCAGUUUGAAGUAAGAUGAUAGUAGAAAAUGGGAUAGCUUUGGUAUCUCUUGAAGAUGAAAAAGUGUGUUAUUAUAUUUAUAGUUACAGCACCAUUUCUGUGGGAUAGUCUUGUUAUUAAUUUCCAAAACAAUUCUUGUAAUUAAAUACAUGCAGUAAAAUAUAAGUUAUGUGAAUGUUUUAAACUCUUGUUGUAUAGUUUUGAUCAUACAAUUAACAUUAUAUUAAAAGGUUAAAAAUGUGUGCAGCAUUUUUAUUUUCACAGGCCUUCUGGCACUUGUACUAGCACUUUUCAGAUUUGAAGUUUAAGCCUAGUUACAGGAGAUUAUUAUGUUGCCAUUUUUAAAUUUACUGUUUUAAUUUUUUGACAUGAAAUUUGAACCUGUUUUUAAUACAGUUUUCAUUCAUUAAUCGAUUUUAUUGAUAUUUUUGUACUAAUUUUUUACUGUGAAAAUUGUAAUUUAGUUUUUAAACCAAUUAUAGUUCAUUAUAAUCCAGUUUUUUUAAACCAAUUAUAGUUCAACAUUUUCAUCAGGCUUUGUUUCAGGAAUCUUGCAUUAACUGUGUAAUUUUAACUUAGAACUUAUUAUCAUUUUAUAUAAUUGUGGUCUGCAUUUUGUUUUGUCAUCAGUCUACAUUAAAAUACAGCUGUAUUAAAAAAAUGAAACAAGAAUUUUAUAUAUAUAAAUGAUUGAUAGCAGCAAGUCUUAAGUUUUGAACAAUUAUCCUGACAUGUAACUUUUUGGUUACUGAUAAAAAAAAAAGACAUUUAAAAUAAAAUUACUCAUAUCGUCUGGAAUUAGUUAUAUUUACAGUCUGUGAAAUUGCUUAUUUAAUAUGAUGUGUUUAUUUAUUUAUUUAAAUAACUUCUUUUCCCCACCAGUAGUGGUUUUUGUAAAGAACAAGCAUCAAUAACGUGUUUUGUGUUUAUACAUAUAUGAAUUGAUCAUGAAAUUACUGUGUGUGUAUAAUUGUAGUAGUCUAGCAACUUAACAGUUUGAUGUUUUCAUUUCAUUUUAGAAAGAUUGAUGUGAAGUCCAGUUUAGACAUCUAGUUAAAUUAAAUUGUAAAAGAUGUCAGAAUAAUUUGGUAUGUAUAUAUAUAUAUAUACAUACAUAUGUAGUACAAUGUUAUAAUUUUCCUAUGUUUGUUGUUAUUUGUUUUUAUUUUUGUUUGUGGACUUUUAAACUGUUUCAAUUUGCCGCUUCAUAUUUAGAACCGUUAAGAACAUAUGAAAUAACAAUUGUUAUAUUUCAUCCAACUGUAUCCUCUCACAAGUAGCUUCAAAUGUGAAGUUUUUGUUUGGGGAUUUAUUUAUGACCAUGUCAUCGCAAGGGCUGUUUUAUCAUCAAUAUAUUUAUUUUCAGAGGCCUAAUUAUGGAAUUUUUAUUGUGCUUUUGUUGAUCAGAUAUGUUGUCUCUUUCUUACCCCUAACAACUAUUAAUAUUGUAUGUAAAAUAGAAACGUUUAGUGCAAUGUACCAGUUGUCUCAUGUCUGUUGUUGCAAAAAAAAGAAAAGAAAAAAAGAUUCUAUUGGUGAUUAUCUUCACUCAGACGCUUUUAUUUUUUGCACGAAUUUCCACUCCAAAUAUCGAAACUUCCAUUUUCUUAUUAUAACUAUGUCACUAAAGGCAAAUCACAGUGGUAAACGAAAAACAGUUAUGUACUUUUUUUGUUUAGUCAGUGAAGUUGGCAAACACACGUCCGUAUGUGCUCGUGUGUUACAUGACUAGAAUAUUGACCAUAACUAGAGAAUGUUUUUAACUGUGAAUUUCAUAUUUGAUAUAUAAGAAUCUUUGUAUAAAGUGAUACUCUAGUUAAAACGGAACUCAAGUUAACAAAUUACAAACAGUUCUUGUCUUUCAUACAUGGAUUUUUGUAUGUGAUUUAGAAGCUAGUGAUUCAUUCUAAAAGUGUGCAGUUAGGCUUUCCGCUAUGGGCGCAACAACUUAUAAGUGGCUGGGUUGAUAUUUGUGAUGUAGGAAUACACGUCUAGUUUAUUGAAUUAGAAACAAUAUCAUAUUUCCUUACGAGUGACGUAACUCUUGUUUAUAAACGUACCACUAAACUUCAAUAUUUCAAAAGAGUAUACAAACGGCUAGGCUUAGCUCCAGAUUUCAUAUUUUAGUAAUUCUUAACAACAAAACUUGAGUAAUGAAUCUUGAAGGAAAGGUAGAUUGGCUGAAACAUCAUGGUAGAAGAAAGGAUUCUUAUGGUAGGCGUAUAGAUAUAAAUCACAUCAAACAAGUUAUUACCAAGAAUCAUACAAAACUAAAUUAAACAAUGAUCUUCCUAGUUGAGAAGUGGUGUAGCACGAAACUAAACUUCUUAGCUGGUCAUAGAGUAUGCUUAAUGUGAGAGUGACAAGCACGUGGGAAAUGAGUUUGUGGCCGUAUUUCAACAUGCCUGGGGGGGGGGGGGUCUGCUGUGCCCAGGUUUUGAAUAUUGUGUUGUCUUAUAAGGUUGCAUAAGAAGCAAGUUUUUCAUUUGUGUUUCUGAGUUGUUGUUUUUUGUUUUCAUUUCGUGCCUCCAUAAAAAUAAAAAAAUGCAUAUACAUAUGCUGAAUGAUUAAAGAAAGAAUUAUGUUUCUCAUUUUUCGGGGGUAAGUUCCCCCUUUCUCCCUUUCCUCCCUGCGGACGCCCAUGCAUGCCUCUGCGUUGUAUGCUUAUAAAUCUCACUUGGUUGGUCUGUGCAUAUGAUUAUGAAAUGAAUUACUAGUUCCUGCAUAUUUAAAAAAAUACACCCCCAUCACCCAUUUUAAGACUCCUGUCUUGAAAUUCUUUCCCGCGUCUCUGAAGAGCAAUGUAUAUUUUACAUUUCAAUGCUGCAGUGUGUGUACACAUGUUUGAAAAAAAAAUACUAAGUUUGUACUUGUGGCACUUAUCACCUUAUAAUGUAAAAACUCGGAAUUUCAUUACGUGGAUUAUUGUUAUGCUCAGUAAUCCUAAAUUGUUUUUUUUUCUUAUAUUUUAUUGGAUUUUCACCUGCAACUAUUGUUUAAAGAUACACCGAUUUAAGGUACUAUUUUUAAACGCUCACUUACACGAAAUGUAUAUUUAAAUACAGUUAAUGACUGUACUUGUGAAUUAAGUAAAUAAAGUAAAAAGCAUCACAGCGUUUAAAAGUGCGCAAUAAUUUAUUACAACGGCACCAGGUUCGAUGGAUAACUAUAGGUUUUGGCGCCACCAUCAUCAUAAGUCACGACUUUAUGACGUCACGGUAGCACCGACCGCCGAAAGGUGUAUUUAUCCAAAGAGCCUUUGUGACGUUUUACGUAUAUUAUUUUUAAUUUCUUUUUUAACGUUUUGAUAUUUCGGUUUAUUUAAAGUAAACAUUAUGUUGUUGCGGAGUAUGUUAAGAUAUUGGUAUCUUGUAUUAGUUAUAAUGUGUUUAUGGCCGUAAUGUGCCAUAAUAUGAUUAUAGAAGCAUAUAAAAUAUAUUUUAAAGUAUAAAUUUAAAAGUAAAGAAGUUUAAAAACAACCGUACAAAUAUUCUACUAUUAAGUAAUAUAGUAACAAAUAUUAAAAUUGGAAAAUGAAGGGGGGGGGGCAACAAAACGCAUGUUUAGAAAGUGGCUUAUGGUAAAGAGAAGAAUAGAGUAACAUUGCUUAACUGGCGUUUUAUUGAGCUGUCGCAUGCACAUCUAAAUAGAAAUUCAUGUUUAAGUCAAAAAAAUGUAUGAUUUAGUAUGAAUCGGUAUGUUGAAUGCCCUUGGUAUAAUAGCAGAAUACGUUCAGAUGUUUCUUGUUACAAAAUGUUCCACCAGGUAUCUGAAGAAUAGUUUAGUGUAUUUGUUAUAAUUUUAGCCCAACUGAAGAUUGUAAAAUGAAGCUAAUAAAGAGAGUGACAAAUUAGGGCAUGGGUAUAAAUAUAGCCCGGUAAGCGGAAGCUUUUUUGUAAGGCUUCUCCUUUGAUGCUGGUUAAACUUUUUAUUUGUAAAAAAAAAGUGGAAUUUCCUACAAAUUGAUUUUUAUUGUAGUGCAUUUUGGUAGAGUACUUGCCAUAGUCAUUAUACGGUUUAGAUAUGUUGACUUUGUACGUGUGAAGUCGUGAUGUGCAGAUUUUAAACUGUUUUACACAACAUUUACUGUUUACACACACGCAUGUAGACCGUUUUCUUCAAAACUGUGUACUGUUGAAUAACAAAUGUAAAAAUUUGGUUGUGACCGGACCUGUUUGUUUUACGUAUUUAUAUAAUUCGCGACGUUUUAAGAAUCGAUCUGUUUUAAACGUUUCGGCCUGUAUUAUCUGUAUGGAAAACUGUGUCGCUUGUCUUGUAUGUAACCAAAUAAAGAAAGUUGUUGUA